UGGUGUGUUGAUUGUUUGCUCAAA
rnacentral:siRNA from 1 species